GACGUAGGGCGCAAGCGUUGUCCGGAUUUAUUGGGCGUAAAGAGCUCGUAGGCGGCUUGUUGCGUCGGCUGUGAAAACCCGCGGCUUAACUGUGGGCUUGCAGCCGAUACGGGCGGGCUGGAGUUCGGUAGGGGAGAUCGGAAUUCCUGGUGUAGCGGUGAAAUGCGCAGAUAUCAGGAGGAACACCGGUGGCGAAGGCGGAUCUCUGGGCCUUGCCUGACGCUGAGGCGCGAAAGCUAGGGGAGCGAACAGG
rnacentral:rRNA from 1 species